AGAGUUUGAUCCUGGCUCAGGACGAACGCUGGCGGCAUGCCUAAUACAUGCAAGUCGAACGCUGAACUUCACUGCUUGCAGAGAAGGGAAGAGUGGCGAACGGGUGAGUAACACGUGGGGAACCUGCCCAUGAGAGGGGGAUAACAUCCGGAAACGGAUGCUAAUACCGCAUAGGUUUGGAAACCGCAUGGUUUCUGAAUAAAAGAUGGCCUUUGUGCUAUCGCUCAUGGAUGGCCCCGCGGCGUAUUAGCUGGUUGGUGAGGUAGAAGCUCACCAAGGCGAUGAUACGUAGCCGACCUGAGAGGGUGAUCGGCCACACUGGGACUGAGACACGGCCCAGACUCCUACGGGAGGCAGCAGUAGGGAAUCUUCCACAAUGGGUGCAAACCUGAUGGAGCAAUGCCGCGUGAGUGAAGAAGGUCUUCGGAUCGUAAAGCUCUGUUGUUAGAGAAGAACAAGGAGAGGAGGAACUGCCUCUCCCUUGACGGUAUCUAACCAGAAAGUCACGGCUAACUACGUGCCAGCAGCCGCGGUAAUACGUAGGUGACAAGCGUUGUCCGGAUUUAUUGGGCGUAAAGCGAGCGCAGGCGGUCUUUUAAGUCUGAUGUGAAAGCCCACGGCUCAACCGUGGAGGGUCAUUGGAAACUGGAAGACUUGAAUGCAGAAGAGGAAAGCGGAAUUCCAUGUGUAGCGGUGAAAGCGUAGAUAUAUGGAGGAACACCAGUGGCGAAGGCGGCUUUCUGGUCUGUGAUUGACGCUGAGGCUCGAAAGCGGGGGGAGGCGAACAGUAUUAGAUACCCUGGUACUCCCACGCGGUAAAGAAGGAGUGAUAAGUGUUGGAGGGUUUCCCCCUUUCAGUGGUGGAGCAAACGCAUUAAGCACUCCGCGGGGGGUUUCCGCCCGCAAGGUUAAAACUCAAAAGAAAUGGGGGGGGCCCCCCACAAGCGGGGGAGCACGUGUUUUAUUUGGAAGCACCGGGAAAACCUUUCCCAGUUUUUGACUUCUUUUGGAAUUUUAAGAGAGGAGGAAGUUCCUUUGGGGAACGAAAAGACGGGGGGGUCCAUGGUUUUCUCCAGCUCGUGUCGUGAGGAUGUGGGGUUAAUUCCCGUAACGAGCGCCAACCUUUAUUUUUUAGUUCCCACCAUUGAGUUGGCCAUUCUAGCAAGCCUGCCGGGGAUAACCGGGAGGAAGGCGGGAUGGAGUCAAAAUCAUCAUGCCCCCUUAUGAGCUGGGCUACCCACUUGCUACAAUGGAUGGUCAAACGAGUUGCGAAACCGCAAAGUUCAGUUAAUCUCCAAAAGCCAUUUCAGUUCGGAUUGCAGGCUGCAACUCGCCUGCAUGAAGCUGGAAUCGCUAGUAAUCGCGGAUCAGAACGCCGCGGUGAAUACGUUCCCGGGUCUUGUACACACCGCCCGUCACACCACGAGAGUCUGUAACACCCGAAGCCGGCCGGCCAACCUUUUGGAGGCAGCCGUCGAAGGUGGGAUGGAUGAUUGGGGUGAAGUCGUAACAAGGUAACCGU
rnacentral:rRNA from 1 species